rnacentral:rRNA from 1 species
UACGUAGGGGGCAAGCGUUGUCCGGAAUCAUUGGGCGUAAAGCGCGUGUAGGCGGCCAGGUAAGUCCGUUCUGAAAGCCCGGGGCUCAACCCCGGGAGGCGGAUGGAUACUGCUUGGCUCGAGUCCGGAAGAGGCGAGUGGAAUUCCCGGUGUAGCGGUGAAAUGCGUAGAUAUUACCAGGAACACCAAUGGCGAAGGCAGCUUGCUGGGACGUGACUGACGCUGAGACGCGAAAGCGUGGGGAGCAAACAGG